rnacentral:rRNA from 1 species
UGUACCGCAAACCGACACUGGUGCGCGAGAUGAGUAUUCUAAGGCGCUUGAGAGAACUCAGGAGAAGGAACUCGGCAAAUUGACACCGUAACUUCGGAAGAAGGUGUGCCUUUAGUAGGUGAACCUGUACAAGGGGAGCCCAAUGAGGUUGCAAAAAAUCGGUGGCUGCGACUGUUUAAUAAAAACACAGCACUCUGCAAACACGAAAGUGGACGUAUAGGGUGUGACGCCUGCCCGGUGCUGGAAGAUUAAAUGAUGGGGUGCAAGCUCUUGAUUGAAGUCCCAGUAAACGGCGGCCGUAACGAUAACGGUCCUAAGGUAGCGAAAUUCCUUGUCGGGUAAGUUCCGACCUGCACGAAUGGCGUAACGAUGGCCACACUGUCUCCUCCUGAGACUCAGCGAAGUUGAAAUGUUUGUGAUGAUGCAAUCUCCCCGCGGAAAGACGGAAAGACCCCAUGAACCUUUACUGUAGCUUUGUAUUGGACUUUGAACAGAUCUGUGUAGGAUAGGUGGGAGGCUUUGAAGUGUGGUCGCUAGAUCGCAUGGAGCCAACGUUGAAAUACCACCCUGGUGUGUUUGAGGUUCUAACCUAGGCCCGUAAUCCGGGUCGGGGACAGUGCAUGGUAGGCAGUUUGACUGGGGCGGUCUCCUCCCAAAGCGUAACGGAGGAGUUCGAAGGUACGCUAGGUACGGUCGGACAUCGUGCUAAUAGUGCAAUGGCAUAAGCGUGCUUAACUGCGAGACUGACAAGUCGAGCAGAUGCGAAAGCAGGACAUAGUGAUCCGGUGGUUCUGUAUGGAAGGGCCAUCGCUCAACGGAUAAAAGGUACUCUGGGGAUAACAGGCUGAUACCGCCCAAGAGUUCAUAUCGACGGCGGUGUUUGGCACCUCGAUGUCGGCUCAUCUCAUCCUGGGGCUGUAGCCGGUCCCAAGGGUAUGGCUGUUCGCCAUUUAAAGAGGUACGUGAGCUGGGUUUAAAACGUCGUGAGACAGUUUGGUCCCUAUCUUCCGUGGGCGCUGCAGAUUUGAGGAUCCUGCUCCUAGUACGAGAGGACCGGAGUGGACACACCUCUGGUGUAUCGGUUGUCACGCCAGUGGCAUUGCCGAGUAGCUAUGUGUGGAAGAGAUAACCGCUGAAAGCAUCUAAGCGGGAAACUCGUUUCAAGAUGAGAUCUGCCGGGGCCUUGAGCCCCCUAAAGAGUCGUUCAAGACCAGGACGUUGAUAGGUCGGGUGUGGAAGCGCAGUAAUGCGUUAAGCUAACCGAUACUAAUUGCUCGUGCGGCUUGACCAA